UCUUCUCCAUAAGUCUAGGGAAGAUACUAACCCUAGCAACCCCUCUUCUUCUUCCCUGCCGCCAUCAUAUUCCUCCAUAGAUCUCUUCUCCACAUCUCAAAAAGUCUAGGGGAGGUCAUAACCCUAGCAUCCCUUCCAUCAAAUCUAGGAGAGGUCCUAAUCCUAGUACUGCUAUUCUUCUUUUCCAUAUUUUCAUACUUCCAUCUACCUUUCUUUCUUAGAGUUCCU
rnacentral:lncRNA from 1 species